rnacentral:tRNA from 1 species
GUGGGAAUAGCUCAGUGGCAGAGUGUGUGCUUAUCAUGCACAAGGUCCUGGGUUCAAUCCCCAGGACCUCCA